rnacentral:rRNA from 1 species
CUUUCUUUGCUGGCGACCGGCGCACGGGUGAGUAACACGUAUCCAACCUGCCCUUUACUCGGGGAUAGCCUUUCGAAAGAAAGAUUAAUACCCGAUAGCAUAAUGAUUCCGCAUGGUUUCAUUAUUAAAGGAUUCCGGUAAAGGAUGGGGAUGCGUUCCAUUAGGUUGUUGGUGGGGUAACGGCCCACCAAGCCUUCGAUAGAUAGGGGUUCUGAGAGGAAGGUCCCCCACAUUGGAACUGAGACACGGUCCAA